rnacentral:rRNA from 1 species
UACAGAGGCCUCGAGCGUUAGGCGGAAUCACUGGGCUUAAAGCGUGUGUAGGUGGAUUCCUAAGUACCUUGUGAAAUCCCACAGCUUAACUGUGGAAUUGCUGGGUAUACUGGGUGUCUUGAGCCACUCAGGGGCUACCGGAACAAAUGGUGGAGCGGUGAAAUGCGUAGAUAUCAUUUGGAACGCCAAUGGUGAAAACAGGUAGCUGGGGGUGUGCUGACACUGAGACACGAAAGCCAGGGGAGCAAACGGG